CGCGCCGCCGCACUAGCCCCCGAGGCUGCCUGCGCCAUUUUGAAUAAGGUCACCACCUGAAGUUCUGUAAGAGUGAGAAACUGGUGGACUCCCGGGAUGCGACCUGUGCCAGGGAAGGGUGGUUGCUGUGGUAACCGUGCUGUACCGCCCCGGGCCUGUAAUAACUGCCUGCUAAAUGGAUGAGUGAAUUAAUUAUUUUCUAGAGUACUUUCACACCCACCAUCUGACUCCUUGCAGAGUCGCUCCUCACACGAGGAGGCAGGUAUGGUCGUUCCCAUUUUGCAGCGGAGAAAAAUCGAGGCCAAAAAAGGCGAAGUGGCUGCUCAACAUCAGCCAGCCGGAACUCAUGGGCUCGUGGAUAGUUUGAGGAAUUUUUGACCAAAUCACCAUUCCAUUGGCUAUCAGGGUAAUCUACUGUGACACUGAUGACAUCAUUUUGAUGGGCCUUGAGAACAGGAGGUAGGAGAUACCCUGGAUGACUUGGUCCCAUGCAAGAGCGUGUGUAAUUUUUCAAACUGCUUUCAAACAGUCAAAAGUUUGAAGACCACUGGCUUCAUCACUUAAGGCCAUGAGAGGAGACCAUUGCGGGGAGACAGGAGAACUUUGCAGACAGUAUUGAAGAACCUGAACUAGCCUGGGGUGUUCGGGAAAUAAAUCUCUUAAAUGGAGGAGAGACUUUCUCCUCCUCACCACCCCAUCAUCCAUCUGACUUCCAAGUCUUGUUGAUUCUGCCUUCAAAAUAUCUACUCCAGCAAGGAGGAAUCUGUCCAUAAAUUCACCUGUGCAAGAAAUAUAAUUAAAGUUUU